GACGAACGCUGGCGGCGUGCUUAACACAUGCAAGUCGAACGGAAAGGCCCCCUUGUGGGGUACUCGAGUGGCGAACGGGUGAGUAACACGUGAGUAACCUACCCUUGACUUUGGGAUAACUUCAGGAAACUGGGGCUAAUACCGGAUAGGAGCUCCUGCUGCAUGGUGGGGGUUGGAAAGUUUCGGCGGUUGGGGAUGGACUCGCGGCUUAUCAGCUUGUUGGUGGGGUAGUGGCUCACCAAGGCUUUGACGGGUAGCCGGCCUGAGAGGGUGACCGGCCAAAUGGGGAAGGAGAUACGGCCCAAGCCCCCAGGGGGGGCAGCAGGGGGGAAAUUGGCCCAAGGGGGGGAAGCCUGAUGCAGAAAGCCCGGGGGGGGGAAGCGGGCCUUGGGGUGGAAACCCGCUUUCGCCGGGAAAGAAGGGGGGGUGACGGUAAUGGGUAAAGAAGCACCGGCUAACUACGU
rnacentral:rRNA from 1 species